UCUUCCUUCUCCUUCUAGCUAUCUCGUUUUGAUCGGUGGAGGAAGAUUUGAAGGUGUUUGAGACUGUGAACAGUACCGUGAACAGACGUACUGAGCCCUCGAGCGAGGAGGACACAGGCAGGCAGCAGGGUUAGCUGCGGGAUUCACUUUUUUGGCGCAUGCAUUUCAGAUUAGCAGAGAUUGCGUCCAGGCUCAAGGACUUUGGGAAUCAGCGCUUCCGUUUUUGUCCGUAG
rnacentral:lncRNA from 1 species